rnacentral:rRNA from 1 species
AUUGAACGCUGGCGGAAUGCUUUACACAUGCAAGUCGAACGGCAGCACGGACUUCGGUCUGGUGGCGAGUGGCGAACGGGUGAGUAACAUAUCGGAACGUAUCCAAUAAUGGGGGAUAACGAGUCGAAAGAUUCGCUAAUACCGCAUACGCCCUACGGGGAAAGCUGGGGACCUUCGGGCCUGGCGUUAAUGGAGCGGCCGAUAUCUGAUUAGCUAGUUGGUGAGGUAAAGGCUCACCAAGGCGACGAUCGGUAGCUGGUCUGAGAGGACGACCAGCCACACUGGAACUGAGACACGGUCCAGACUCCUACGGGAGGCAGCAGUGGGGAAUUUUGGACAAUGGGCGCAAGCCUGAUCCAGCCAUUCCGCGUGAGUGAAGAAGGCCUUCGGGUUGUAAAGCUCUUUCGCAAGGGAAGAAAACUUAGCCACUAACAUUGGUUGAGGUUGACGGUACCUUGAUAAGAAGCACCGGCUAACUACGUGCCAGCAGCCGCGGUAA